ensembl:lncRNA novel transcript
AUAGCCGCCACGUGUCCUAAGCACAGCAGCUACCAGCAACGCUUGGACCCGCGCCGGGUGCAGCUCUGCGUCCCCGCGGCCGCCCUGCCUGCUCCGAGGGCUGCGCCAACGAUAACGCGCACCUGUGGGCAGGGGCCAGGUGCCGGCACCCGAAGGAGUGCGGCUCGGCGCACGGCGGCCCCUCCUACCAGGUGAACGGCUCCCAGGCUGGCCUGCCCCUGACUCUGGCUGGGGGGCACACUCCAGGCCUUCUUCACGCCCUUGGCCAUCACAGUCCAGGUGGCACCCGGCCUCUCCAUGACCUUUCACGAAUCCCAUGCCCUCUGAGUGGCAGUGCCUGAGACCUACACCAACACCCUCUGUGGCCUGGGCGGGGACUUCAGCGUGGAUACCCAGGAUGACUUCAGCGGCUCUGAUAGCACAUGGCUCUCUGAUGCCAACAGCUUAAUGGGGGCCCAGCCCCUCUGUGCCCACCAGACAAGGCAGCCCUAUACCAGGCCUUCUGUGGCUUGCUGGGCACCCAAGAUGGGCCCUACAGGGCCUGCAGUAAGGACGUGGAUCCCCAGGUGCAUGUGGAGAACUGCAUCCAUGACCUCUGUGCCACGGGGGGCUCAAGAGAGACUCUGUGUGCCAUACUGGGGAGCUACGCCCAGGAAAGCCAGCAGCGCAGCGUUCCCAUGCAGCCCUGGAGACACCUCUUGGCCUGCAGUAAGUGGGUAUUCCCAGGGAGGGUCUUUCUCAGCCUGACCUCCCCAGCUGGCCCAAUACCACUUCCAGGAUGUCCUCCUAGGUCAACACCACCCAAAGUGACCCACUGCAUGCCUUUCUGGCUAACUGUUCCCGCGAAGAACCUACCUGCUUAAAACUCUGCAAUAACAAUAACAGAUGACACUGAGUGCUAUUGCAUCAGUCAGGAUGGUCUGGGUUAUGCUGAAGUAACGAACUAACCUGAACAUGACCCAGCAUGACCAAGGUUGUUUCUUCAUCACUAUCUUCGUCACCUUUGUCAUCAUCACAGUCACUAUCAUCAUUACCGUCACCAUCACCACCACCACCAGCGUCACCAUCACCACCACCACCAGCCUCACCACCACCACCACCACCAGCAUUACCAUCAUCACCACCACCACCAUCACCACAAGCAUUACCAUCAUCACUACCACCACCAUCAUUGUUACCACAACCACAACCAUCACCACCAUCACCAUCAUCAUUGUUACCACAGCCACAGCCAUCAUCACCACUACCAUCACCACCAUCAUCACCAUCACCACCAUCACCAUCAUCAUCACCACCACCACCACCAUCAACAUCAUCAUCACCAUCAUAACCAUCACCACCAGCAUCACCAUCACCACCAGCAUCAGCAUCACCAUCACUACUAUAAUCACCAUCACCAUUAUCACUACCACCACCAUCAUUGUUACCA